rnacentral:rRNA from 1 species
CCUACGGGUGGCUGCAGUGGGGAAUAUUGGACAAUGGGCGAAAGCCUGAUCCAGCCAUGCCGCGUGUGUGAAGAAGGCCUUCGGGUUGUAAAGCACUUUCAGUGGGGAAGAAAGCCUUGGGGCUAAUACCCUCGAGGAAGGACAUCACCCACAGAAGAAGCACCGGCUAGCUCCGUGCCAGCAGCCGCGGUAAUACGGAGGGUGCGAGCGUUAAUCGGAAUUACUGGGCGUAAAGCGCGCGUAGGCGGUCUGAUAAGCCGGUUGUGAAAGCCCCGGGCUCAACCUGGGAACGGCAUCCGGAACUGUCAGGCUAGAGUGCAGGAGAGGAAGGUAGAAUUCCCGGUGUAGCGGUGAAAUGCGUAGAGAUCGGGAGGAAUACCAGUGGCGAAGGCGGCCUUCUGGACUGACACUGACGCUGAGGUGCGAAAGCGUGGGUAGCAAACAGGAUUAGAUACCCGGGUAGUC